CUGAAAAGAGUCUGGCACCAUCCUCUUGGCAACCCUUGGAGAUAUUUAUAUGCAUUGAUGAGAUCCUUCUUGGUUUUCUCCAGACUAACCAGGCCCGGCUCCUGCAGUCUUUCCUCAGAGAGAUAUUCCAGACUCCUCAUCAUCUCUUUAGCUCAUAACCCUCUCCAGUAGCUCCUUGUAUUUCUUGUACUGCUUCUACAUCUGGAAUGUCCUUCCUGGAUGACAUCUGAUACCAACUGAUCUGCACUUUUUGUGUAAUUCUGUUAAUGGGAAAAGGCACUGAGGAACUGCAAGAAUGAAUUGGCCUCCCUGUGAGUCACGAGGUCUUACACUUAGAGAUUCAGCUGUGCAAUCAGCAUGUGAUCUCAUCAGCAUGCCAGGAGAAAUUCCCAGAGCACCUGACCCUCAACAGUUGGUUGGAAGCACCCCCAGACCGGGGUUGUUUUGUGGUGGGACGGAAUUGGCUGCGAGUCCCGGUAGAAAUGAGCUCAUCCCAAGGAGCGAGCUGUGCCUGGGGUCCCCUGACCUCUGUGGGAACAGUGUGUGUGCAGCCUGCAGAGCACUGAUUUCAUGGAGUACGUAUUUACCAGCUGCAGCCAGGAUUUAGUGCCCAGUUCUGAGUGCUGCCUGUGCUGUCACCGAGGUGAGGAGGCAUUCACAGCUGGCAGUGCCUGCAGGACUGAUGUUCAGCCUGUAACACUUUCUUCAGUUGCUUGCAACAAUUUGUUUUCACAGGGAAAUACUUAUUUCUCCAUUUUAUUCAGCGUGUAAACGUUUCAGGCACAGGGAGAAAUGUUACAUGGAGGGAUGGAGGCCAAAUGCAUCAAGAGUGGCCCUAAAAGCAAGUAAUGCCUUUAAGUGCUACCUAGUGUUGCCAUAGGAAAGCUUUUAGGUGGUGAGGUUUUUGGGAAGUAGCUUUGCAAAGGUGGUAACUGUUACCUCCCCAGGGCUCAUUAAAGCAGGAUGGUGCUCUCUUGUCUCAGGUUGUCAGGCCUGGUGUGAGGGCGGGUCAGGGAUCUGGUGUCCUGUGGGAAAGUGGCAUCCGUAGCUCAGGGAAAGCAGAGGGUGCUCUUGGCAAUAAAAGACAUGGGACAUGUAAUUAUCUAAUGAUU